AAAAAGACUAGAUAACUAGAUUAGGGCAAAUAAGAUGUAACUGAUAAUGACAGUGAGUGAGAAGGCUGGCAACUAGGCAAAGAUAAUAGGAUUUAUUGGGGAAAUCAAAUGUGAAUUGAAAUGUUUUUUGGCUACCAAAUGAGUUAAAACAAUAAAACAAGGGACACCAAACUAGACCUUAAGAAAAUCAAACUCCUGGGACCAGUAUAAUGGAAGAGAGGAGAAAGAGAAUAAAUGAUUGUUAACAGAGAAAAAAGAAAGCAAUCAUACAAAAACCAACUCACACCUUAGCAGGAGAGCAGGAGGAUGAGAUGAAAUGAUGAAUGCUGAGCAGGAGAGGGAGUGGAGCAAAUCCUCUUGCUUGGGUUUGAGGCCAGGCUGUGGGAAACAGGUCACCUGAGUCCAUCCAUUACAGAGCAAGAACCGUUGUUUUCAGGUUCCUCAGCACGCGGGGAAGAUGGCAGGCUGCAACAUGUGCUUUGUAUGCUUGCCUUUUUUUUAGGUGGAGAAAAGUCUGUUCCCUUGUAGACUAUUUUACACAGGUGAGUGUGGCUAGGUUUUAUCUUCCAGAGGUGCAAUAUGUGAUUUGUUUUGUAGUGAGAAUUAAUUAAGCAUAAGAAUAAGGUGAAUUAGAUUAAUUUUAUUAAUCCAGCCAUAUUGUUAAGGUAAACAAAACAAAAACCUAACAAUAAAUACUUCCUUACCCAUCAGAUUUCUCCAAGGUCUUCUUCAAGCUCUUGUAACUGAGUUUUUUGGGGUUUGGGCUUUGGUGGCUGACCUGUGUGGUUUUUUCCUGUUUCACCUGUUGGUCUAAUAUAACUUCCUCUGCUUCUAGUGUUACAGGGAAGACCACAAAACUGGAAUCCAAAAUGGGUCACCACCUACAUUUAGAGGGAUGUUUAUCAUAGGCUGGGGGUGGUGGGCGUAGGAUCACAGUCAGGAGACGAACAGUGAUAUUCCAAGUGUGAGUAUUUGACCUUAAAAAAGACAAUGGUUUUAUAUUGUUUCCUUGAAAGACUAUGUGAGGGGGAAGUGAGGUAAGGGAGAAAUAAAGCUAUUUCCGUUUUAGAGCUCAUGAAACAUAAAACAAAGUGGCCCACAGGCACCUCAGAGAUCAGAACCAAGG
rnacentral:lncRNA from 13 species